rnacentral:rRNA from 1 species
CCUACGGGAGGCAGCAGUGGGGAAUAUUGCGCAAUGGGGGAAACCCUGACGCAGCAACGCCGCGUGAAGGAUGAAGGUUUUCGGAUUGUAAACCUCUUUUCUGGGAGAAGAGACAAGGACGGUAUCCCAGGAAUAAGUCUCGGCUAACUACGUGCCAGCAGCCGCGGUAAUACGUAGGAGGCUAGCGUUAUCCGGAUUCACUGGGCGUAAAGCGCACGCAGGCGGUCAUGUAAGUCAGACGUGAAAGCUCCUGGCUCAACUGGGAGAGGUCGUUUGAUACUGCAUGGCUUGAGGUUGGGAGAGGGAAGCGGAAUUCCCGGUGUAGUGGUGGAAUGCGUAGAUAUCGGGAGGAACACCAGUGGCGAAAGCGGCUUCCUGGCCCAUACCUGACGCUCAGGUGCGAAAGCGUGGGGAGCGAACGGGAUUAGAUACCCCGGUAGUCCACGCUGUAAACGAUGCGAACUAGGUGUUGGUAGUAUUAAUCCUAUCAGUGCCGUAGCUAACGCGAUAAGUUCGCCGCCUGGGGACUACGGCCGCAAGGCUAAAACUUAAAGGAAUUGACGG